rnacentral:rRNA from 1 species
GACGAACGCUGGCGGCGUGCUUAACACAUGCAAGUCGAACGGAAAGGCCCUGCUUUUGUGGGGUGCUCGAGUGGCGAACGGGUGAGUAACACGUGAGUAACCUGCCCUUGACUUUGGGAUAACUUCACGAAACUGGGGCUAAUACCGGAUAUGAGCUCCUGCUGCGUGGUGGUGGUUGGAAAGUUUCGGCGGUUGGGGCUGGACUCGCGGCUUAUCAGCUGGUUGGUGGGGUAGUGGCGUACCAAGGCUUUGACGGGUAGCCGGCCUGAGAGGGUGAACGGCGACAUUGGGACUGAGAUACGGCCCAGACUCCUACGGGAGGCAGCAGUGGGGAAUAUUGCACAAUGGGCGGAAGCCUGAUGCAGCAACGCCGCGUGCGGGAUGACGGCCUUCGGGUUGUAAACCGCUUUCGCCUGUGACGAAGCGUGAGUGACGGUAAUGGGUAAAGAAGCACCGGCUAACUACGUG